rnacentral:tRNA from 1 species
UCCCAGGUGGCUCAGUGGUAAAGAAUCUGCCUGCCAAGCAGAAGAUGCAAGUUCAAUCCCUGGGUUGGGAA